AACACGGAGGGGCUGAAAGGACCUGGGGCCAUCGGGGGUGGAUGGCCAUAUCCUGGGGCCUUGAUGCCAGUGCCGACUGUUCCCUGCACGCUUCCACGUCCACGCCAACAUUGCAAGGCUAUGUCACGGACUGGAACAGCUACAGUGAUGACACACCUGAGGUGAACACAACUCCAGCAGCAUCCUGGCCUCUCAUGGGGCAAGUGCAUGUGGAAUCUAGAAACUUCACAGCUGAGCCUGCAAAGGUGCUCAUGGCAUGCAGAAGUGUUUCUGGAUCCAGUGGUAGGAAGUCAUUUCAAGCAGCUUGUGAACAUUCACAGAAGCAGCUCAGGAUCAUCCUGCUGCUUCUGAGAGGGUACAUCAGGGCUCAGAAUGUGCUGUCCCCCUUAUCAAUCAUCACUGAGACCUCAGCAGAAUGAGAGGGCCCCGCAGAGACAGCAGGCAGGGGCCAGGCCUUGGAAAUGCUGCACACGGACCGGACCCCAGUCGUCCUGCCACGGCCAUGCCCAUCUCGGCUGAGGCCACCGAGGUCUGGAGAAGGUCCUCACUUGCUCAAGGACACACGGCGGCCCGGCUCAAGCUGACUGAUCCCAAGUGAGGCUCAAGCCUG
rnacentral:lncRNA from 1 species